rnacentral:rRNA from 1 species
GAUGAAUGCUGGCGGCGUGCCUAACACAUGCAAGUCGAGCGGCAGCGAGCGGUUCUUGCGCCCUGUCGGCGAGCGGCGCACGUCUGAGUAACGCGUAUGAAUUUGCCCCAACGUUAGGAAUAACUCCCCGAAAGGGUACCUAAUGCCGCUUAUGGUCUUCGGUGUAUAGGAUGUAUACGCUUUUGAAGAGGCUUGCGUGGGAUUUGGUUGUUGGUAGGGUAAUGGCAUAGCUAGCCGACGAUCCAUAGCUGGUCGGAGAGGCUGCUCAGCCAGAAUGGAACUGCGGCACGGUCCAGAAUGCUACGCGAGGGAGCAGUGAGGAAUCUUACACAAUGGGCGAAAGCCUGAUGGAGCAACGCCGCGUGAAGGAUGAAGGCCUUCGGGUUGUAAACUUCUUUUAUGAGUGAAGAAUAUGACGGUAACUAAUGAAUAAGCACCGGCUAACUACGUG